UGUUAUAGGGCAAACCUGACACUACAUGAAUUUAGGCAUGAAAACAAACCCAGAGGAAUGAUCCAUGUUAUCGUAUAAUUGAGAUGAGCCACUCUCUGGCUCAGAAAUGUGCAAGACCUAAACACAGCUUGAGGUUAGUUCAAGUGCUUUAAAUCUGUAUGAGUAAACCACUCACAGGAAAAGAGAGGCAGGAAGUCAAACAGAGAAGAUUGUGAUUUUAAGAGCUUUAACAGGAUGAUGAAACAACAGAGAAAAACAGAGGUCAUUUUUGUCUGGGUCUUAGCCAUCUGGCUCUCUUCAGUUGUCAACAGUGAAAAGAAUUUGGCAGUACAUCCAACUGGCCUCACAACCGCAGACCAUGUGUAAACACGCCAGACCAGGACCUUCACAUCUGGCUUCUUCACCUGCGGGAUCGUCUGAGAACAACCAUGUGGACAGCUGAUGAAACUGCGGGUUUGAACAACCAAAUCAUUUCUGCACAAACUGUCAGAAACCAUGUCAGGGAAGCUCAUCUGUGAAUGUGGUCGUUUGGGUGAGCAGUUUGCUGAUGCCAACGUUGUGAACAGAUUGCCUCAUGGUGGAGGUGGGGUUAUGGUAUGGGCAGGCAUAAGCUACUGACAAUGAACACAAUUGUAUUUAAUCAAUGGCAAUUUGAAUCCCCAGAGAUACCGUGACGAGAUCCUGAGGCCCAUUGUCGUGCCAUUCAUCCGCAGCUAUCACCUCAUGUUUCAGCAUGAUAAUACACAGCCCCAUGUCACAAGGAUCUGUACACAAUUCCUGGAAGCUGAAAAUGUCCCAGUUCUUCCAUGGCCUGCAUGCUUACCAGACAUGUCAUCCAUUGAGCAUGUUUGGGAUGCUCUGGAUCAGUAGUCGCCAACUGGUCGAUCUUCAAGGCAUUCCUAGUCGAUCACCAAAUAUUUCUGUAGAAAAGCCAACGAACGAUAAAGACUUGUGUUCCUUUUUUAAAUCGUGUUGAGCGCACCUGGUAAGCAAAGUGUUUCCAUGAGACAAACUCUGCCUACCCACAGGACCGGCAAAUCUGUGACUAAAUCGAGUGCACCUAUUGUGCUGCCCAAUCGGAUAGCUCAAAUCACGGUGGCUACAGAGCUUCCAUGACCCUGGCCACAGCAAAGUUUAAUAGGCUACUAGCGUACGUAAGAUGUUAUAACUUUUAAAACCAUGACCACAGAGAGACUGUCAACGAAUACAGCAAAGAUUUUAUGAGAUCAACAUGAAUUUGUGCAUGAGGCAGAUGUGGUACGACUCGAGUUUCGCCAUCAGGUGGAACACGGUGUCCACUUUCUCUGGUCAGUCUCACCGGAGGAAAGGAAGGAGAGAGCAGGGACCGUGAGAGGUGGAUGGGACAAGUCUUUUGAACGGUCAUCCAGCUUGGAAUUCCAAGUCGGAAAACUCGGGCAUCUUUCUAGAGCUCCGACUUUUCGACCUGGAGAUCACUGACGUCGUGAUGCAGGUACCACCAGUCCAGUAAAAUAAAAAACAAACUAUUUGCCUCAAGUGCUAAACCAAUUGAUCUAUUUUGUUAUCAAAGCUCGAGUUCGAAAUAUAAUAUGGUCUUUGGCAGGCCAAUCAUAUAGCCAAUAUGCUGUGAUAAUGUAUUAGUCCUACGGCCCUAACCUCCUUUCUACAACUGUUUGUGAGGUUAAUGUAAAAAAAUAAGCAGUACAUCUCUGCAUGCUUUUUGACUGCCAAAGUGAUCUUGACUCAGAAAAGGUUGGUGACCACUGCUCUGGAUGGAGGUGUACGACAGCGUGUUCCCGCCAAUAUCCAGCAACUUCGCACAGCCAUUGAAGAAGAGUGGGGCAACAUUCCACAGGCCACAAUCAACUCUAUGCAUGAGCCAAAUGGUGGUCACACCAGAUACUGAAUGUUUUUUUGAUCUACGCCCCUACUUUUUAUUUUAUUUUUUAUCUGUGACCGACAGAUACAUAUCUGUAUUGCCAGUCAUGUGAAAUCCAUAGAUUAGGGUAUAAUGCAUUUAUUUAAAUUGACUGAUUUCCUUAUAUGAACUGUAACUCAGCAAAAUCCUUUAAAGUGUUGCAUUUGAUUUAUUUUUGGUCAGUGUAAAGAGUGUGUGUAAGCAUGGAAAGCUUCCUAUACCUGGCGAUAUAACAGUUUCCUCUUUAUCCAUUCAUUCACAGGUAAAGUGGAGCUGAGAACCAGUACUGAGGUAAAGGCUCAGUGUGAUCAGAAUGUGUCCCUGCAGUGUGACAUCAUGUCAUCGAACCCACUCAAGAUCAUUCUCUUUUCCUGGGUAUGGAAAAUGAAACAGCUGUGUGUGGUCAAUGCCACUGGUGUAUUCUCCUUUCCUGGCGUCCGGUGUGACAUCACAAACAACACCCUCACACUCAAUCUGACUCGGGUGAUGCUGUCCAGUCAGGGUAACUACACCUGCAAACUGCGCUCCAACCUAACGAUCACAGCUGCCAACACCACUGUGACAAUGCAAGAGUGCCUAAGGACAUCUGAGCACAAAGUGUUCCAGAAUGAGUCUCAGGUUGAGUGCCAGUUUUUUGGAGUUUACCCAGAAGGCACAGUACACUGGUUCCUGGGCUCUGAGAAUAUAACAGAGUCCGCCAGCACCAAGAGCCAGCUGGAUGAAGAGGGGCUGUUUGAUAUAAGGAGUACCCUGCCUACCCAGGCUGGGACUGAGCCUUACAACUGCUCCUUGUGGAUACCUAGUAGUGGAACCUACAGCUCUCACAAACAGCUGCACUACUCCAGAAUGAUCUCUUCAGGGACAAAGACUAGGAGCAGACUGCUGUUGGUCUUCAUCCUGGUUGGACUCAUAAUCAUAACAUAGGACUACUCAUGGGAAUGUCAGGAGGUUUUUUACUGAACAUGGGACUUCGAACUACAGUAGGAAAAAGGGCUUUCCUGGUCAGGGCACAUUUACACAGGAUGGAUCAGGGCCUUUCUCUUACUGAUUGAAGAGAAAGCAAACCUGGACUGCCAUGGCCAAAGUGGAUAUAUGUUUUCACUUUUUAUACUGGGAAGCAAAAUAUCAAAGUAAUUACAAUAAAUACAAUUGAAUUUUAAACUGAAAAUCAGUGUACAUUGGGAUUUGAGAAUACUGUAAGAAGUGUUCAUUGUUUGUCUUCAACGUUAUACACUUGUUUAAAUUGCAUUGCUUAUUACAGUAGUAGAAUACUGCUUCCUGGUGGUGAAAGUGUUUACUGAUGGAAAUAGUAUUGCUGUUAGAUGCGUAAUGAAGAUAUUCUAAAUUGUAUUGUUGAAUUGACUGAUCUUGCUUAUUAAGCCUGUCAUAACUUGUUGCUGUGUUUUACAGUCAGAACUGAUUAGACUGAUUUAUAUAAUAAUCAAUGCAAUGUCAAAACAUGGCUAGAAGGACAUGUUACUGUGUGUUCUGGAUUCUAAAAUACAAGUUGUAUUAUACCAUAGCAAAUAUAGUCACCCAUGUUGUUCUCUGUACUAGUUCUCCAUUUAAAAAUGCACCAGACCACUGAGGGAACUCAUGACAUUGAUAGUUAAUGAAUGAGGACUCAUGGUCAUUCAAAUUGCAUUUCUAGUUCCUUCUCAGUGUACCACAAGGAGGCAGAGUCAUCCCACUAGAGAGGACUGUCAAACCAAUCAUACACAACUCUUCUCCCUCUGCAUACAAACACACACUCAUGCUGUGUGUAUUCCAAUCCAACUGUUCUGUAUAAAUCAACACUUUGAUGUGACACAUUUCCUAUCAAUUUCCGCUACGCCAAUGUGGGGUCUCCUGCAAAGUGAAGGAGUGGAGGGUCAAAUGUCUCAUUAUAAAACACUCAAAUCAA